rnacentral:rRNA from 1 species
GACGAACGCUGGCGGCGUGCCUAAUACAUGCAAGUCGAACGCAGUGGGGACGGGUGAGUAACACGUGGGUAACCUCCCAUCAGAGGGGAUAACACUUGGAAACAGGUGCUAAACCGAUACUGCUGGAUGAACCCGGGGUGCAUUAGCUAGUUGGUGAGGUAACGGCUCACCAAGGCAACGAGGCAUAGCCGACCUGCGAGGGUGAGCGGCUACGCUGGAACUAAGGCACGGCCCGUACUACGACGGGAGGCAGCGGUAGGGAAUGUGCGGCAAUGGAGGAAAGGCGGACCGAGCAACGCAGCGAGAGUGAAGGGGGUUUUCAGAUCGUAAAACUCUGUUGUUAGAGAAGGGGUAUCUAGCCAGAAAGCCACGGCUAACUACGUGCCAGCAGCCGCGGUAAUUC